rfam:Pedobacter steynii strain DX4, complete genome.
UAGGCGUACCCUGAAAAGCCUUGAAUAGAGUAAGGA